GCAAAGUCACCCCCCCUUCCGCCCCUGCCCUCCCGAGCCCCAGGGAAAAUGCUUUCCAGCAUUGUCGAGCUUCUGAAAGACAAAACUUGUGAUCUGACACUUGCAUCCAGAAAAGGUUUCUGUCUAGAUUAGCAAAUGCCUCAAUUGUUCUUGGUUACAUCCCAUGACCGGUUUUAGGCAGUGACUUUAUAAUGCUUUUAGGAUUUUCUUGUACAAUGGUGAGAAAAUAGGCAGGUCUGAUAGUGGUUUCACUUUUUGUUCUACUUCACGUUCCGUAAGAUUCUUUUAUGCAAGCACUUGUUUUAAAAUUCUACUGUAAGCGUUUAUGGUUCACUUUUUUUUUCUUUGCAGCACCCGUGACUUUUUUUUCCCUCUAAAUCAGGAGUAAAUAUAGCUGAGUAAAAUUACCUUGAUUUUCUUCCUUCUUUUUUAACUGAAUUGUUUUUAUUAAAAAUCCUAUUUGAAUAUGUAGAAAAAGUGGGGAUGUCUUGUAAUAUAUCGUAGCUUUUCUUGUUUACAGGAUACUCAGAAAAUAUGUCUCCCUUAGAGUCCCACAGAAACGUUCUCAGUGCGAUCUCUAUCAAGGUAUGUAUUUACAAUGCUAUGAGUCUUGAUCAAUUGGAGAAGAGCCCAAGAGAAAUUUUUCAUCCCUUGAUAUAAAAGGGAUCGGUGAAUUUUAACUUUGGAGUCCCCUAUGCUAAGGAUGCUCAGCUUACAGGUGAUGAAAUGUUCAGUAAUGUAUUUGCUGCAGCUCUGCUUACCCAAGCUUUGGGUUCCUUCUGUCCCACUGGGAGUUGCCCAGUUUGGUUGCAUCUGGUGAAAUUCACCCUGAGACCUUACAGAAGCAGCUCCAACUACGUGAGAGCCAUUUGCAGUUCUCUCCAGACGCCUGGAGAAUGGGCGACGUUUCUGAGGAUCCGGCGAGCGUGCUUCUGUCAAAACUCAGUCUGUGAAAUUCCUGGGGAAAACCCUUCUGUGUCCUGAAGGGUUCAAACUCUGGUGAGGAUCCAGUUAUCAGGUGCUCACCUGGAUGGUUCCAGCUGCCAAAGGGAAAGACUCUCGUGUCCUUGUCGUCGGGCUCGGUGCUGUCCAAGAAGAUACGGGGACUAAAAAAAUCAUAAGAAGCAAAAUACGACUGCAGGGAAAAGAAGCUGGAGAGAACAGAAGAAAUGGAAUUGGGACGACGCCUCGGCCAGCCCCUCUCUGCCAUCGUCUCCUGAAUCUGCAGCAGAGCAGUUCCAGUCCAUCCGGGCACGUGUAAUCCAGUUCCUGAUGAUCUGAGCACACAGAGCAGCGCUCAGCUGCUGUGGGGGGCUCAGGGAGGGCAGAGUGUGCAUUGUCAUCUUCCUGAACCUACAGACAAAUCAAAGUGAGAAGCCACAGCGUGGAAAUCAGUCACAUAUAUGCUAAAUAAAACUUGCAGAUUUUUUUAAGAA